ensembl:lncRNA
UAUAUGUUCAUGAGCACUGUUAAUGAUACACAAAAAUUAUUUUUAUUUUUUUUAUUCAGCAUUUCAAACUUCAUAAAGAAUACAUUUAUACAUUAACAUUUACAUAGAAAACUUUUACUUUGUAAAAAUAAUAUCUCACAACAUCACUUUCCUGUAUUUUUGAUCAAAUAAAUGCAGCCUCGGUGAGCAGAAGAGACUUCCUUCAAAAACAUAAAAUAUCACUCAUUAUAGAAAACUAUAAAUUACAUAUUUAUUCAUGCAGGUUUUGUCGCUGAUUGCCAAGUGAAUCGUUAUGGAUUGAAAGGAAGCUCAAUCCGUCUGAGCAUCAGUCCCAGAAAUCAGUCACUAACUAAUGUUGGGUGGCACCGAUUCAACAGGAAAGAGGUGCUUACAGACGCAAAAGAAGUUUCCCCUCAUUUUGAGAAAAGAAUGAUCCUAAACGUCUCAGACUGGUCUUUGACCAUACACAACCUUGAGGAAAAUGACAGUGGACUGUAUGAAGUCAUUAAGAAGUGGGAGUCUGAACCUCUGGCUGCAUUCACACUUACAGUGGAGAACACUGUCUCAAAGCCUGUAAUCAGAGUGGAUCAACAUGACUUUAAUUCGUCUGCUGAAGUGUGUCGGGCUGCAGUGAACUGUUCGGCUGAUGGCAACUGGGCCACGUUUUACUGCCACCAAAAUGUCUGUACGAAGAUACGAUCCUCUCCAUUCUCCAUUAACAUCACUGUCACUGCACUGGACAGCAGCGGCAUCGAAUGCAACGUCAGCAACAACGUGAGCAAGAAUCAUUCUCAGACUCCCAUUACGUGCCAUGAAAAGCAGAAAAGUGAUUAUCGUUUUCUCCCAUCGCUCAUCUUCUGGAUCGUUGGCACCGUUUGUGGUGGUGUUUUGUUGGGUUUGGUUAUGGGUGGGAUUGUAGCAUUUGUCAAGAGAAGAAAAUGUUCAAAAGUUCAUCCACAGUCCAGUCGUGUUGUGAUUGAACAGCAUCAUGAAACAAUUUACUGCACCGUGGAAAAGCCGGCCACAUCCCAGACAUAUCCAGGAAACAACACUGUCAGCAACAAUGUAGAAACCAUCUACGACACUCCAUCACGACAUACCAAGGCUUGUCAAGUAGACAGUGUGGAGGUGAUGAGAGACAAUCAGGAGCAACAGCAAUCUGGACAAGACAGAACUAUUCAAGUAAAAGCUACAGUUCACCAGGCAGCAGAACCCGAUUCAGAUCCAAUAAACACUGUUUACUGCAAACUGGGAGAGAUAUGACACAAACACAUACUGUGCAUAUCUGAGACGUCACUUCAGUGGAGAUUUAAAU